rnacentral:rRNA from 1 species
GGGCGUAAAGAGCUCGUAGGCGGUUAGACACGUCGGAUGUGAAAACUGGGGGCUCAACCCCCAGCCUGCAUUCGAUACGGUCUGACUAGAGUGUGGUAGGGGUAACUGGAAUUAUUGGUGUAGCGGUGAAAUGCGCAGAUAUCAGGAGGAACACCGAUGGCGAAGGCAGGUUACUGGGCCACCACUGACGCUGAGGAGCGAAAGCGUGGGGAGCAAACAGGAUUAUGAUACCCUGGUAGUCCACGCCGUAAACGGUGGGCGCUAGAUGUGGGGACCAUUCCAUGGUUUCUGCGUCGCAGCUAACGCAUUAAGCGCCCCGCCUUGGGGAGUACGGUCGCAAGACUAAAACUCAAAGGAAUUGACGGGGG